AGCGCCACGCAAUUAAUGCAGAUUCCUGAUACGCGAUGUUCCAGUUCUACCAACCGACUGUAUACAUGAUUAAUGGCGAACUUCAUAGCCAGGUUGCUAUUAAUUCUCUCUUAUUAACCUGUUUGUUUGUUUGCGGAAGUACAUACAGUAAGUACUUUCUUCGCGAUCGAUAUUUAAAAAACUUCGAAUUCAGCAUUAACAAACUUCUAAAUGUAGAUUUUUGUUUUUAUUUAAAGUUGCAUUCAACUAUCGUGUUGUUAGCGAUUACUUUUUGGUUAAAACAAUGCACAUGUUUUCUGCUAAGGGCUCUAGUACUCUAAGGUCCAGUGACAUCUGCUAUCGACUCAAAGACACUGGUAGAUACUGCAAUUAUCUCGGUACUUACCAUAGAGAUUACACGCAGAAUGAAUAACAAUAAAUUUUGUGAACGGUUGAGGUAUUAUCUACACGAGGUAUGUAUGUGUGUAUGUACUUACAGUUUUAGAUGAAUUCCGAAUUACCAGAACCACGCUGAGAUAAACAAUACAACUACCACAGGGGUGGCAACUGAAAAUUCGCCUGCCGGUCACGAAUCAUAGAUCUGUUUCAGUUACUAAAUAUUAUAACCAGUACCACGCUUUAGGUAUUUCAUACAUUUUUAGACAUUAUCUAUACCUUGUAUUUAUCUACAUCUGUGAAAUUGUAACAUUUGUAAGAAUAUAUGCAUAAAUAUCUACUUCUAAGAUUUAGGAUGACCAUGAUGAACAGUUCGGAAGCAAGGUGCAAGAAAAUGUACGAUCGAUAUUGCUAUGCAUAUUGGCAGAAACUUUCUCUAAAGAAGUUUCUUUUUCAAGGUUAAUGACUCAACUGGGAAAGAAGGUAAAUCAGUUGCCUUACUAAUCUCGUAACACUAUUUAUAAUAUGGUAGAAAUCGCGCUUUAAUAAUGUAUUUUAUACGUUGCUCGUCAAUGGUAUUGUGUCAUUGAUCUUUUCUGGGAAACUGAGAUAUUCGAGCACCAGGUUUCGUUCGUGUCUCGAUCAUCACGGGGUUACCCAUUCCGAUCUGAUGAUUAACAUGAUAAAUCCAGUUACGUGAUUUCAAAAAAAUCUCAUCUAUUACGAGAUCUGUGAGAUGAGUAUUAUUUAAACUCGGUGAAAAGAGCGAGGUCACGAGAUGCACGACGAAACCGUGUCGUAUUUCAUGGAAAUCAUUUACAUGAAGACUAUUCGUUCUUGCACGCCUACAACGCGAAUAUCGAUACAUUUGAGAUCUAAAUUUACUAUUAAUUCAUGUCUGAUCGAUUAAUAUUUUUAACUAAUCUUCAAAGCUGGAACAAUGAUGCAUGAAAACUAAAUUGUUUUGUAUGAAAUGGUUAUUCGGUUGGUGUUUACGUUUCUAAGUUCAUUGAUUUCUGUCUGUACGAUGUAUUCCAGGAUUGGAAAUGAAGAAAGAGGCGCGGGGAAACCCGUUCGCUGCAAACAGAACGGAUCUUACCGGUGAUUCGAAUCAUUAUUUUUAGAAUUCUAAUUUGAAUAACAAAUUGAUAAUCGUUUCUUUUCAUUUUUUCUAUCAUUAAAAAGGCGGGAAUAAGCAAACGAAAGAAACGCAAACAAUUUUACUGUCAUUGAACAUACUUUGCAUUACAAAUUAAUGGAAAUCUCUUACUUUUCAAUCUGAUUAUUUUAAUUCGUGAUCCUACUAAUAUCAAGCAAUUAACCCGCAGGGAUAUAGAACGAAUCAAAUGAAAUUUAUUUUAACGAAGCGUUGAAAUUUUAUUUUUUCUUUUUUUUUUUUCAUUUUAGCAUCGAGUAUGAAUAAAGUUGUGCGUCUAUAGAUUUCGCGUUGAUUGUUACUCCGAUACUCUUCUUUAUGGCUAUUACACAAUAAACGAUAAUUGAAAUAUUAUAUGCAUGGAAUCACGUCGAUUUUAUCAUUUGCCAUAAUUUUAAAUUAGAUGUAUCCGUUUUAGGGAAUCACGAUAAUCGUUCGGGCCGAAGCUGUUAUUACAGGCAACAAUGGAGUUUCAAUUGCGUUAUCGUGGUACGCGAUUGUACGUAACACUCGUAUAGAAUUGCAGUUCUAUUGUAUUGCGUAUUGUAUCGCAAUGUACCAGGUCACGAAUUCAAACUAUCUAGUAUUGCACAGCGGUCAUCCAUCGUUUAUCCUGUCCGCAGGUUUAAGGCCGGAGUGCAUGAAGUGUAUUGCGUUAUUCCUAGUUAUGAUUCAAGAAAACUUGCGCGUACCAUUCAUGCGAAUAUCGCUAUAUCUUCAAUCUAUUCAUCUUACUAUUAAGCAACGAGGACGAUUAACUGAAAAUUUUGCCGGUCGUAGAAACGACAAAGAAUACGAAUUAAGCGAGAAAGACUACCGUGCCCAGUGAAUCGUGACAGUCAUACAUCGUCGACUCUGUGGAUUACAUAAAUACCACCUACACAUUCCACUGGUAUUACGUUGUCAAAAUCAAACGGGACCUCUCAGUGGUUUCUUGAACAAACUUCGAGGUCCAUGGCAGCCCAUAAAUCAUCCGGUAACAAUAUACUUCGAAGAAUCCGAAGAAGCCCUUUGCAGUGCAGUAAAAAUUCAACCGGACAACCUGGAAUCCCAUAAAUCUCCCACGACGCAUAUGUCCACGAGGACGUUCGCAUUUACUCUGUGUGCUUUAUCCAUGAAAGGAUUGCGCGGAUCUCAGCAGCGCGCCCUCUCGGUCGGAACGCGAAAUAGGAUCGUACACUCAAAUUCGUCGCUUCGAAGGGGUACUUCUUGCGCGGGUAUUUUUGGAAAAAACAUACCUUGUUGACAGUUCGUUGGCACGAAGGCGUAGCCGAGAAUUAGAAACGUCAGAAUCAUGUUGACGAAACGGUUAUCGUUCGUUUUGUGUCUCGACAUCCUCUCCUGGUCACUUGUUCACACCGCGCACUUUUUCGUAUCGGCACGAUUUCGAGGCAGUUCGCCCGACUGUCAGUGCAACACUGUCAUCGUAACAACGCUGAAAUUCGCCAACCUUUUUCGUCACGUUGUGUCUGUGCCCGUUGAUUUAUCGAGCAACGACGAGCGGGCACAUCCUCGCAGAAGAAAAGAGACGAGUUCGCGAGCACGGCGCGUUUGUCACUGGCCACGGGUAGAAAGCAAAAUCCUACUUUCACUUGGUGGCUGCGAGCCUCGCGAGGCGGAGCUGGCACGUCGAGGCCAUCGCGAUCUUUCCCUCUCCUUUCUGUUCUGUGACUUCUCCUCUGCCUCUUUUCUCGUGUACACGUCUUUGUGACGAUCAACGAGAGGGAGCCGAUACUUAGAAAAACCGCGGAGACGGGUUUUAGGAAAAAUUUGAGAACGUCCGGGUACGACCUUUCUUGUAUCUUCGUGAAGGUCGCCAGUGAGGAUCAACGAUCUUUCGCAACGAUUUUAGAACCGGGAGGCAGUGUUUUCGACGCCGAGCCGAGCCCCUCAAGUCGAGGCUCUUUUGCAUCCUACGAAUAAAAGAGAUCCUUAUAAAACGAAUUAUUUUGUUCUGUAGAUAAUCUUGAUCUCUUUUCUUUCACGGAUAUAACGAAAUUAGUGAAAAGAUACAGUUUUUGAAUAAUCAUUAAUCACAAAGUUGCAUUGAUAUUAUUUUUCUGUUUAUUAUUAUUAUUAUAUAUUUUUUGUAAUUUUUCCAUAUUUUCAUUAGCUAGAAAAUAAUGGAAUCCUAAUAUCCGAAUUCUAUGUUUUAUAUUUUAGACGAAUACGUUACAUAAGGAUCCUCUAGUUUCGUUGAUGUUGUGUAACUUCAAAGUUACAUAUCUAUAUGUGCGUAUUCCGAUAAUUUUAUCUACCUAGAUUAAAGCAGAAAGCUGCAAUCGAUAUACAAUGUUCUUUCUAGAACUCUGAUCAUAGAUGGUAGUAAUUCUGUUCUACAAUGUGGAAUAUUACACAGUCAGUUUAUCGUACCAAUCACUGCUAACUCUAAAAACAUGUUAGUAUUUGUUUUAUCACGCCAUUUUAAUUCAUCGUUGAAGAAUUAAAAAGUCCUACAUUUAUCGGUAUCUAAUUCCAGAAACAUUUUAACGUAUUUCGUGUGAUACACGUCGAUGUCCGCUUAUUAUGCGUCUGAUAAAGCCCAACUUUGCAUGCAAGCUAUAUAUAGCGUGUGUUUAGUAUCCUUAUUUCGGUUCCAUCUAUCGUUUUUUAGAGGCUGGAAAGAAUGCAGCCGAAGAAUGCCAUAACACGGCCGCGUCCUUCGGUAGGACCUUCGUAAGCAUUUUUUCGACGUCGAUUUUAUCCUGUCGGGAUACGUUCGUUAACCCUUACCGAGUACAGGCGACCUUUGCGAAUCGACGUAUCGUCGAUUCCGAACUGAUCCACAUCCGGCCAGAAACCAAACGGGCACGAAAGGAAAAAGACGAGCAAGGUCGGCACAGCCGGGGAAAGUAUUAUCAUGACGCAACGAGAUUGAAGAUGAUGUUCUAUAAUAGCUUCUAAAUUACUACUUCAACGGCAUAGGGGAUUAGUAUGCCUUCACGUGCUUUACGUCACGUAUGGUUGGUUUUUGUAUUAUUUUUUAAUUUCUUGUGAUCGACUUCGUGCGAUUAUUCUAACGAGAAAAAGAUCUUCUAUUUCUCUCUCUCUCUCUUUUGAGCAUGUAGCAUGUUUAGAUGUGUAUAUGCAAGUAUAUAUAUCGAAUAAAAUUACCGCAUAUAUGUAUAUGUAAAAUUCACAUAUGUGAUAGUGCUGCUAUCUAAAUAAUUGUGCGAAUUUGUACUGAGUAGUACAAGGUUAUUGGUAUUAAUGUGAUUCAAAGAAUUUUAUCCUCGAUGCAAUUGUAAGUGCGUGUUGCUUUGCUCAAAUAAUUGAAAGUCGUAUGAAGUUUAUAUGAAUAAUAAUUGAAAUAUAAUAACUUUUGAUAUCUCGCACUAUUCUCUCGAUAAUUCACAAGAAAGCUCUGUAUUUUCUUCUAGAGAUGACUCAAUCCCUACAAUUUGCAUUAUCGUAGCAAUAAAAAGUAAGUUUGUAUUAUGAAUGAUCUAUACCACUUGCAUACGAACGAUUCAUGACUUUUUGAAUUUCCAAAUUAAUCGUUUAAACGUUCACGUUUCUGGAAUAUUUAUUUUUAAGAAUUUUAUAUACAGAUA